CCGCGCCCCCCGGCGGGCGGAGCCCGGCGCCGCGGCCAGGAUUUCCCACCUCGCUCCCGCGACUCCGCUGCGGGGGUACUUAACCGAAACUAGCAAUCCCAGGCGGUACAAGGCCCUCCAUCGUAGGCAAAGCACUACCUGAAUGUAGAUUUGGGCCAUACGUUGGAAAAUAAGACAUGAGAGUAUGCUCCGAUCAACUUUUACUGUUCACUGGACAACUAUUUUGGGAAUUUGCAGACCUAUAAAGCCCAUCUAUAAAUCUCAAGCAUGUCCACUUUCAGAGAAGAGAAAUGCUGACAACCAUUUAGUCUCUGAGGACAACACUUUUAAAGUGUAACAAUGUGGCAUCCAGAGCUUAUCCAGAUGAGCGGAGAGCAAAUGAAUUUCCUUCUGCUCCCCUGUUGAAGAGGAGAGAAAAAUUCUUCAAGCUCACCUGUUCUUCUCAUCGCUGGACCUAUAAAGUGGCAUUAAUCAUCAAGAGUCCAGCAGAAUUGGGAAAGUCAUGUAUGCUGCAAAGUACAUUCCAAAGUCUUAAAAUAUUCUUGUCUUAUCCACUGUUGUUUAUUUGUUUACUUAUUUUUAAACAAACAUCUGUUUGAAAGAGGGAGUGCUAACUGUGUGUUCUGGUAUCCCUUACCUGAAAAAUGCCUUCCUCUGUGGGUCUCAGUGAAUCCCACUCAGGAGAAUCCAGGAACUGAAGGGGGAAAAUGUAAUGCAGAAAUUCGCCAUCAACUGUCACUCUGAUCCUAUCAAAACACAAGAACAACAUUUAUAAGGGAAGGAGAAAGAGAGCACAUAAUUGGGGAGGGGUGGGGGGUAGAGGAAGUGUAUUUCAGAUCCCUGAUGACUCUUGCCCUUUAUGAUUUUGAAAGGCAAAAUAUUAAAUUCAUACAUUAUAAUAAGUGACAUAAUGUCCUGUAAGAUUCAUGUUAUCAUGUUCCUUAUACAGUCAGGAUUCUGGAAUAUUGAGUGAAAUUCAUCAGAAAAUUCAUCAAGUUGUACAUUUAUAUAUGUCCAUUUAUGUGUGCAUAUUAUACUUCAAUAAAACAUUUUAAUGGA
rnacentral:lncRNA from 1 species